rnacentral:rRNA from 1 species
UGGCGGCUUUAGCGCGGUGGUCCCACCUGACCCCAUGCCGAACUCAGAAGUGAAACGCCGUAGCGCCGAUGGUAGUGUGGGGUCUCCCCA